UUGCCGCAGCUUCAGUUUAGUUUGAUUUAAUCAAUUACGGACACCGCAAGUACGCGCUCGCAGGCGAGUUCGUGCAACUUCGAGCCAACCCGACCCGGACAGUGGCAAUCCAGUGGCAAUGCAGUACCGCACACCUACGUCCAUCUUAAUUUUCUUCUGUUUGGUGUGCCACAUAGCUCUAUGUGCACCGAACGAUGGAAAGUAUAACCCGAGAAAGUACAACAAAAAUGGAAAAUACGUGCACAGAGGUGAAGGAGACUACGUGGAGGAUCUGAGCCGGUACCGGUACGUGCACUAUGACGAUGGCGAUCGCGGAAGGUACUACCACAUACACAUACCGUAUGAUGGUGGUUACGGCAACUACGAGGGUGGCCACGAGCCCUACCGAUUCCCACCGUACGAUCCAGCCGGAGAGUAUGCCGAACAAGUGAAUAAGUAUUCGUACGAUCCUUUCCGAGCGGAUUCAUACGAUAUCAAGAAACCAUCCAUCUAUCUUGAGUACGGUAUACCUUCGGUGUCCGAAACUAACACCGCCUCCAGUGUAGUGGAUGUCCGGAAGUCGUUACUGCCCGGACCAGGAACGGCAUACCUACCCGUACCAGCAUCAGGGGAACUCGACGUUCGUCAAUCACUUCUUCCUGGGCCGGGAACGGCGUACCUUCCUGUGGUGUCUUCCAAAGAACAGAAUCUUGCGAUCGGCUCCUCCGAAAAACGAUCAAAAAUCCUUCCUCAUCCUAAUAGCAUCGACAGUAUAGAUCACCUCACAACGGCUGCGAGCUCCGAUCGUAACUCCGUGCGUGCUACGACAACACAGCCUCCGAUCGAGACGACAACAGUGCCUAAUAUACUAACCGAUCGGUCCGAUCCGAUCGAUGACAGUUCGCUGCACGGCCGUCCCUGCUUUGCCACCAGCGCCCCACUAAAGCUCUCCAAAACGUGACGAGUGAAUGAAAGCUUCGCCGAGCUUUUACGGAUUCACCGCAUUGCUGUGAUGAUCCACUUAGGUCCUGGCACCUGACCUUUACGGAGGCAAAUUUCAUGCCCGGUGAUCGUCAUCCUUGCGCUGCAAAUGUGAAAAGAUCAUCGACGCUAAAGGUCGAAAAACAAGAUCGCCUUUAAGCGAUCGUUAGAAUUCUUCCUCCGUUUCGUGGGCCGUUAUCUAUGUUGCCGAGCAGUGUUCCGUAUUAUUUUCGCCAUUGUUGACUCAAAAAAACAUUUGAACUCAUGGACUUUUCGGCUGUUGGCUGGUUGACAGGGCAAGCGACAAAACGAGUGCCUUAAUUUAAAAAAAAACUUCCCGAUUCCUGUUUUUGACCACGAACCGUCUAUCAUUAGUGCAAGAUUGUACCAUUUAUAGUGGUUUAUUUGCAUUCGUUUGCUGUGUUUUGACCUUUUGUGUCGCUCUAUUUUUACUUAGCUUUUGGGAGCAUAUUGAACAAAUAGUUGCAAAAAGCUUUUUCUAGAGGAUAAAUUAAGCAAUAUAAAAUCACGGUGGUAGUGGACCGUUCUUAUCAUUUUAAUUGUUUUGAUUAUUUCUGUUCGACGAAUGGAACAACAUAUGCGUUUAAAUUGGUAUAUUUUCUCCGUGCUACUUAUCAUUUUAUCAAGUAAAGGAUUUACAUAUCAAGAAGGAGGGAAUUAAAAUAGUAGCAUUAUUAACAGAAAAGAUACCCGUUUAUCCUGUUAGAGAAACAAUUCUAUCAUCUUAUAUCAUUAGGCAUUGCGUAAUAGACUAUGGUAAAUUCCAAUAAAAACAUAUUUGAAUCGUUUAAGAAUUCUCAGUUUGGUCAUUUGGUUUAAAAAAAAGUUGAUCCCAGUUUGGUUUCGUAAUCGGCAAAUGUAUGUGAAAGAUGCCUAAGUUCAUGAAUUAGUGCAAAUAUCGACACCUAAAAUAAUUUCUUAACCAUCUACAAAUCCAACCACAUAGUAAUUUAACAAAUUGACUGUUGGCAAAUUGGCUCUGUUCCAUGCGGUCACACUGUAUAUGUUCAACAGUCAAAUGUAUGCAUUUAUCACAAUUCAAUGACACAGAAGUUUGAUAUUUUAUAAGAAACUUUAACUUGAGUCAAUAAAAAAGGUGCUAAGGUG